rnacentral:rRNA from 1 species
UACGAAGGGGGCUAGCGUUGCUCGGAAUCACUGGGCGUAAAGGGUGCGUAGGCGGGUCUUUUAAGUCAGGGGUGAAAUCCUGGAGCUCAACUCCAGAACUGCCUUUGAUACUGAGGAUCUUGAGUUCGGGAGAGGUGAGUGGAACUGCGAGUGUAGAGGUGAAAUUCGUAGAUUAUUCGCAAGAACACCAGUGGCGAAGGCGGACUCACUGGCCCGAUACUGACGCUGAGGCACGAA